GGGAAGGUCGGGCCAGCAGGAGAGGGAAUACGGAGGCGGGUGUGGUUGGGCGGAUGGACUGGGGGUAAAGGGGGCGUAGGCGGCUCAUACAGUCAGAUGUGAAAUUCCUGGGCUUAACCUGGGGGCUGCAGUUGAUACGUGUGGGCUUGAGUGGGGAAGAGGGGCGUGGAAUUCCCAGUGUAGAGGUGAAAUUCGUAGAUAUUGGGAAGAACACCGGUGGCGAAGGCGGCGACCUGGUCCUUGACUGACGCUGAGGCGCGAAAGCGUGGGGAGCAAACAGGAUUAGAUACCCCAGUAGUC
rnacentral:rRNA from 1 species